rnacentral:rRNA from 1 species
AUUGAACGCUGGCGGAAUGCUUUACACAUGCAAGUCGAACGGCAGCACGGGUGCUUGCACCUGGUGGCGAGUGGCGAACGGGUGAGUAAUACAUCGGAACGUGCCCAGUAAUGGGGGAUAACACAGCGAAAGCUGUGCUAAUACCGCAUACGCCCUGAGGGGGAAAGCGGGGGAUCGAAAGACCUCGCGUUAUUGGAGCGGCCGAUGCCUGAUUAGCUAGUUGGUAGGGUAAAGGCCUACCAAGGCGACGAUCAGUAGCUGGUCUGAGAGGAUGACCAGCCGCACUGGAACUGAGACACGGUCCAGACUCCUACGGGAGGCAGCAGUGGGGAAUUUUGGACAAUGGGGCAAACCCUGAUCCAGCCAUUCCGCGUGAGUGAAGAAGGCCUUCGGGUUGUAAAGCUCUUUCGGCAGGGAGGAAACGCUCUGGGUUAAUAACCUGGGGUAAUGACGGUACCUGAAGAAGAAGCACCGGCUAACUACGUGCCAGCCGCCGCCGUAA